UGUGAGUUCUGUGCAUCCUCAAUUUGAUCGC
rnacentral:piRNA from 1 species